rnacentral:guide_RNA from 1 species
AAUCCAACAAGUAUAAGGGCACGUAAGAUAGUAAGUGAAAUUUAGAUACU